rnacentral:rRNA from 1 species
UACAGAGGGUGCAAGCGUUGUUCGGAAUUACUGGGCGUAAAGCGCGUGUAGGCGGCUAUGCAAGUCGGAUGUGAAAGCCCUCGGCUCAACCGGGGAAGUGCACCCGAAACUGCAAAGCUAGAGUCUCGGAGAGGAUCGUGGAAUUCUCGGUGUAGAGGUGAAAUUCGUAGAUAUCGGGAGGAACACCAGUGGCGAAGGCGGCUUCCUGGCCUGUUCUUGACGCUGAGGCGCGAAAGCUAGGGUAGCAAACGGG